GAACGCUUUUUCUUUCACCGGAGCUUGCUCCACCGAAAGAAAAGGAGUGGCGAACGGGUGAGUAACACGUGGGUAACCUGCCCAUCAGAAGGGGAUAACACUUGGAAACAGGUGCUAAUACCGUAUAACAAUCGAAACCGCAUGGUUUCGGUUUGAAAGGCGCUUUUGCGUCACUGAUGGAUGGACCCGCGGUGCAUUAGCUAGUUGGUGAGGUAACGGCUCACCAAGGCAACGAUGCAUAGCCGACCUGAGAGGGUGAUCGGCCACAUUGGGACUGAGACACGGCCCAAACUCCUACGGGAGGCAGCAGUAGGGAAUCUUCGGCAAUGGACGGAAGUCUGACCGAGCAACGCCGCGUGAGUGAAGAAGGUUUUCGGAUCGUAAAACUCUGUUGUUAGAGAAGAACAAGGAUGAGAGUAGAAUGUUCAUCCCUUGACGGUAUCUAACCAGAAAGCCACGGCUAACUACGUGCCAGCAGCCGCGGUAAUACGUAGGUGGCAAGCGUUGUCCGGAUUUAUUGGGCGUAAAGCGAGCGCAGGCGGUUUCUUAAGUCUGAUGUGAAAGCCCCCGGCUCAACCGGGGAGGGUCAUUGGAAACUGGGAAACUUGAGUGCAGAAGAGGAGAGUGGAAUUCCAUGUGUAGCGGUGAAAUGCGUAGAUAUAUGGAGGAACACCAGUGGCGAAGGCGGCUCUCUGGU
rnacentral:rRNA from 1 species